rnacentral:rRNA from 1 species
AUGAUGUGUACUCCAUAUUUGGUUGGAAAAACAAUGGAGUGGAUGUUUUUGGGUUUCUUAGUACUGAAGGAGAAAAAGCAACCAAAAAAAUACCAGUUAGUUUUGUUAGCAAGAAAAAUGUACCUAUACUGGGAGAAGGUGCAACCAAUCACCGGUCCAAAAUAUGAUCCGUUGGCAUUGUUGAGCCCACUGAUGAGGAACUGGACGGAAGAUAUGGCUGUGAGAAGAGACAAAUACGACUACGAAUAUGGUCGUGGUGUUGGGAUGAUCGAUGACAACAUUACAGAGGAGUAUAGGUUGAAAAAAAUUGCGGAAGAAGAAGCUCAAAAAACCAAGAAAGCUAGUAGCAAAAAAUCUAACGAUACUGGAACGAGGGAAGAGCGCAGUACCUCGGAGGCUUCGAGCCAGAAGCCUACUAUGGACCGGAUUUUGAGUGAGAUGAAUGAGCUUCGGAAGGAAAUGCUUCGUUUGCCAGAGUUAUGCGCACAGAGGAUGAUUGAGAAACUGAACAAAACCGGCGUCUCCUACAAACCCAGUAACCUGGAAGAGGACGAAGAGAAUAUGUACGGAGGCAUUAAUGAGUCUUCAAACGAUGUUGGACGUCCGCAAAAAGAGUUUGUAUAUCAAAAAGAUGAUUCAGACCGGUUCCGCACACCUUCCAAAAUGAAUUUGCAAAAGGAUGAUAACGGCGUUGAUGUAACUUCUCGUGAAAACACACCUUUUUACUGCACAUCUGAGUACUGGGAUAGUUUCAAGGGUGAUAUGGAUGAUCCUGUCCAAGUACCAGAAGUAUCAGAUGAAAAAGCUGCCACAUCUUUAGAGACGGACGAAAUCGCAUCGCAUGCGCCGGUUGGUUCUCAAGGAGUACAAGAGGAAGUGGAGGAGGUUACUGGCAGGCGCAAGCGCAGAGGAUCACAACAUGUCAAGUCUCCUUAUGUGGUCCCUAAACCAAACAAACGUGCAAAACGUUCUGCCAAAGGAAAAUUGUUCCAAAAUGGUGAUGUUAACAAAUCUGGUGAUGAGUAUGAUGUGGUGAAAGCGUCCAUCAAGUACGUGCGUGCGCAUGAGCAUUUACAAAAACAUGCCAAAACAGAAAUUUUCAAUGAUGGCAUGGAAGAAGGUCUCACUGUGAGGAGAGCUUGUCAGAUUAUUAACCAUGAGUGGCUAAGUGGCGACGUAAUUGAUGCAUACUCAUCAUUUUUGGUCGACAAAGUUAAUGAUGAUUGUUUCAUGUUAACUACUUGGAGGAUACAUUGGUUGCUUCACGUUAGACCCGGAAAAAAGACCGCUGGUAAUGAUUAUGAAGCAGAGUCGCAUAGUAAUGGACCCGUGAACAGAUGUGAGGACGAGUAUUUCAAAAAAUUAAAGACUUACAUUCCUCUAAACAAGCAAAAUAAUCACUGGAUUACUGUCGUCAUGCAUAGCGGAAAAAGAGAGUUUCAGGUUCUUGACUCGUUGAUGACCGGAAAACUUGACACUGUUACUAGAGAACUCGUUGAGGACCUGAGAAAACAACUAGCAGAAGAUAUCCAAGAAGCAAAUGCAACCGGAAUUGUGAAUUAUCCGGAUGUUUCCAAGUGGCCUAUUCAAACGUAUGACAUGCCAAAACAACAUGAUGGGAAUUCGUGUGGACUAUUUCUCCUUCGAUGCUUUCAAAAUUGGGAUGGUGACAAAUGGACAUGCUUAUUUUCACAGACCUCAAUUGAUGAUUCAAGAGAGUUAAUGAUUGCGCAACUUAUAUUUUCGGAAAGAAACAAGCUUGAUGAAGUGAAAAACAAAGUUAUUUGGAUAUCAAAGAAGAAGAAAUAG